UGGGGAAUAUUGCACAAUGGGCGCAAGCCUGAUGCAGCCAUGCCGCGUGUAUGAAGAAGGCCUUCGGGUUGUAAAGCACUUUCAGCGGGGAGGAAGGCGAUAAGGUUAAUAACCUUGUCGAUUGACGUUACCCGCAGAAGAAGCACCGGCUAACUCCGUGCCAGCAGCCGCGGUAAUACGGAGGGUGCAAGCGUUAAUCGGAAUUACUGGGCGUAAAGCGCACGCAGGCGGUUUGUUAAGUCAGAUGUGAAAUCCCCGGGCUCAACCUGGGAACUGCAUCUGAUACUGGCAAGCUUGAGUCUCGUAGAGGGGGGUAGAAUUCCAGGUGUAGCGGUGAAAUGCGUAGAGAUCUGGAGGAAUACCGGUGGCGAAGGCGGCCCCCUGGACGAAGACUGACGCUCAGGUGCGAAAGCGUGGGGAGCAAACAGG
rnacentral:rRNA from 1 species